CAUAUACAUAUUUUUUAAGGUUUUCAUGGGCUCCUGGGCUGGCCGGCUGGGAUAGGUAUGGUUGAGGUGAGGGGGGCCCGAGCUAAAAACCAAGGGGCCCAGGCCUUUUUUUUGAAAAUUUUACAUGCUAAAAAAAAAAAAUUUUGGGCCCAGGGGGGGCCCUAGCCCCCUUUGCCCUCAAUGUGGGUCCGUCCCUCAUCAUGAUGGUAUGAUCUAAUAUUCUGUGCUAUUAAUCUUUUCUUCGUUUCAAGUAAUUUAUGAGUCCAUUUCACUUCUAUGACAUUUCAAGAUAAGUGAAGCAUUGUCCUUAUUGUUGAAUUUUCUUAUCAAUAAAAGAAAAGGCAUUGUCCUCAUGGUUGAUGGAAACCAAUUAGAUUUGAGAAUCAAAAUAUUAUGACACGAUAAACAACCAGCCUUCUAGGACUUGUUACAGCAAUAUGACAACUUUAGAGUUUAUAAAUCUUCCUCUGAAUAGUUAUGCUUCAUAACAGAUAAUUUUGCUAACAAAGCAUUAAAUAAAGAACAUUCGUAUUCUUCUAAUUCAACCCAAGCUUAUUGAUUUGAGUUUGACAAUGAUGAUUCUAAUAAAAAAUUAAGCCAAAAUCCCAAAAUUUCCCAAGUGUAUUGAAAAUGAGAUAAUUUUUAAGAAGUUCCAUCUAAAUUAGGGAUCCGGAUCCUCUCCGUUUCAAUAUGAAAUGGAGAGUGUCCAGUGAAAGGCUGAGAUUGAUUUAAAAUCAAUCUAUGGCCUAAAAUCAGCCACGCCAUUUAAAAUACACUUAACAGAGCAAUGAGUCAUAAUUAACGUUAGUUUUCAACGUUUCUUCUGUCUCUAUGGGUUCUCACUUUCUCUAUCUCUCUCAUCAAAAAUCCAUGGCUCCUCUCUCUCACCUCAAUCGAGUUUCUCCCUCACUCUCCCUAGCGCUCCACUCUCUCAACCCCGACUGCGCCUCCACCAAUCUCUCCACCAACACGCUUGCUCUCUGCCUCUCCCUCAACCCCGUCGUCAUCGCUUCCCGCAUUCCCAACUCAAACCCAUAAGCAAAAACAAAGAAAAAACAGUAAACAGUAACUCACCAGUUGAGAUCCCAACCCCACACAUUCGCACCCUUUUUAGACCCAGAUCAGAGAGAAAGGGUUGGGGUUUGGAGAGAAUCGGGUGUUUAAGUGAGAAUUUGAUGCUUUUCAGACCCAGAUCAGAGAAAGUAAGGGUUAGGGUUUGGAUAGAAUUGGGUAAGAGAGAAGUUGAUGCUCAAUCUCCAUGGCUACAGCUAGCAACCAUCGUGUUCCGCUCCACCAAUUCCGGCAGUGGUUUCGAUAUGCAAGGCACUUGCUGGAGCUGACAGAAAGGAGCUGAUGAGGAAGUUGCCAAAAUUUAUAUAUGAUGAGGAGAAAACUUUGGAGAGAACCCGCAAAAUAUUAACGGAGAAGAUUGCUCAGUUGAAUUCAGCCAUAGACGAUGUUUCUGCUCAGCUUCAUGGAGAUGAUGCCCCUAAUGGAGUUGCAGUGAAUUCAGAUGAAGUUGGAGCUUCAAUGUAAAAUAAUAUUUGUUGUAAUUUCCAUAUAAACCAUCACUACUUACGUGUGAUUAGUACUGACAAACAAUGUUUUGAAUCCUUUAUCCCUUUUAAUUUUCUAUUCGGUUAAUAAAUUCAGGUUGAUUGUACUUAUAUAAAAAAUUUACUAGAAAUGAUAGCAAAAUAUGAUUUGUUUCACA